rnacentral:rRNA from 1 species
AACGAACGCUGGCGGCAUGCCUAACACAUGCAAGUCGAACGAGACCUUCGGGUCUAGUGGCGCACGGGUGCGUAACGCGUGGGAACCUGCCCUUAGGUUCGGAAUAACUCCCCGAAAGGGGUGCUAAUACCGGAUAAUGUCUUCGGACCAAAGAUUUAUCGCCUUUGGAUGGGCCCGCGUUGGAUUAGCUAGUUGGUAGGGUAAAAGCCUACCAAGGCGACGAUCCAUAGCUGGUCUGAGAGGAUGAUCAGCCACACUGGGACUGAGACACGGCCCAGACUCCUACGGGGAGCAGCAGUGGGGAAUAUUGGACAAUGGGCGAAAGCCUGAUCCAGCAAUGCCGCGUGAGUGAUGAAGGCCUUAGGGUUGUAAAGCUCUUUUACCCGGGAUGAUAAUGACAGUACCGGGAGAAUAAGCUCCGGCUAACUCCGUG